UACGUAGGGUGCGAGCGUUAAUCGGAAUUACUGGGCGUAAAGUGUGCGCAGGCGGCCGAGCAAGUCGAGUGUGAAAGCCCCGAGCUUAACUUGGGAACUGCGCUCGAAACUACUUGGCUAGAGUGUGGCAGAGGGAGGUGGAAUUCCCGGUGUAGCGGUGAAAUGCGCAGAUAUCGGGAAGAACACCCGUGGCGAAGGCGGUUCUCUGGGACGGUACUGACGCUGAGACGCGAAAGCGUGGGGAGCGAACAGG
rnacentral:rRNA from 1 species